rnacentral:sRNA from 1 species
AUGGUUAACCCAUGGGGGGAAGUCCUAUUUAGCAAAGGAGCUUACAACGGAUGUGGACUCAACUUUCUUCAGGUAAUUUCUCUAAAAAAGAAACUUUCUUCGAGUAGUUUUUAGUAGAAAAGCUUUUUACCAAUACAUAGAAAACAACAAGACUAUAAUAAGUUUUCGUAUUUUAUGUUUUGGUCGGCCAGAAAAUAUUUCCAGACCAGAAUCAAUCUGAUCAUCUUGGAGCAGGAGCUCAGCUCAGCCGUUCAGGUUCAUGUGCUGACUUAUUAUUACGAGCUUUUAAUCAUUUACAUAUGCGUAGAUGCAUUUUUAAUCCUCUUGAUAGCGUUUUUGAAGCGACUUUUUAUUUUUAUUAUAUAUAUAUAUAUAUAUAUUUUUUUUAAGAACAUAAAAUAAAAUGCAAACUUUUAUUUUUCUUCUUCCUUUUUUUGAAUUUAAUAAAACCAAGAAAUACAACUCAAAAUAUCUAAGCUCACUGAUGGCCUUUUCUCAAAAAAAAAAAAAAAAAACUCCUGAAAAUCUUGGCUAUUUUUUUUAACCCCAAAAAAAAAAAAAAAAAAAAAAAAGAAAAAUUUCCUAGAACCGUGGCUGAAAUGAAAAUGGAACAUCCAGAGUAUACAGUUAGACAGAUGUCCUUAUGGGUAAAGCGAGAAGAAAAAAGUCGUUCAGCGGAGGUGUAUGGGUUUUUGGAAAUGUUCUCUCGUGAGAGAGAGAGAGAGAGAGAGAGAGAGAGAGAGAGCGCGCUUAGAGGCCCAAGAGAUCUUCCCGGCUUCGUCGUGUGCUCCGCCACCUCCGUGGUCUCUGUCCCCGUCCCCUCCGUCGGUCUCGUGCCGUCCUAGAUCGACAGUGUCAUUCCCGAUAGGGGUGGUCAGGCCUCCCUCUCUAGCUUGUUAGUGGUGGUUUCGGACCAAUUUGACCGGAUCGGGUUAGAUCCGAGCUCUUGCACCACCAGGGGUCUCCCACCCCUACGGUUCGCAGACCUGAAGUUCCUCUCUGGCCACUCUUGCGAGGUUUCUACGAGUGAGCCCCCAGACCUCCUUGUGGGGUUUGUUUUCUCCCUUGUGGUUGUGGGUCUUGCGCCAGCUUGGUGGGUUUUCUCUGCACAAUGGUGUUUCUCACCGGAGUUUUUUUUACGAUGCUUUUUAGUUGGCUAUCAUAAAGGGUUUUUAUUUUUUCAUUUUUAUUUGAUCAUAGGAGUUGUUACUUGUUCAAAUUUUUUUUUGAUACAUACUUUGUUCAAAUUUGAACAUACCAGUGAAAUGAUUUUUUUGCCAUAACAAUAACAACUAGUAAUAUUUUGUCACUUAGAAUUUGUUGUAAAAAUAUUAUAAAAAUAUUGUAAACAUAACAUUUCUUAAAAAAAAAAAAGAAAAAAAAAGAGUAAAUAGAGUUGAACACUGUAGAAUUUCCAUAUUAUUUUUUGGACCGUCUAAGUUUGGUUGGAGAUAAGAUAUAAAGAGUACUAAUACAUAACUAAUUGUUGAGGAUCGAACCCAAGGACUAAGACUUGGCUCGACAUCUUACCAGCCACCCAAAUGUUGGUAUUUUUCUAGUUAGUCAUUAAGACAAUUUAAGUUUCGUGGACCCGAUUGUAGAAUUAGAUAGAACAUUGUAGGAUUCUACUUUUAUUAAAAAAAAAGUGUAAAGAUAAUGUAUUUCAUAUACUAAUUAUUAAAAAAGAAAAAUAAUAAGUUUUAUAUAACACAAUUUUCAUAUUUUAUAUCCCUACUAACUAAAAAACUAUUACAUAUUUCUUACCCAAAAAAAAAAAAAUCAAUGAAAUAAUUAAAUAUUUGCAUAACUCUUUUAUGAAAAAUAGAAUUACAUACAAUAAAUGAUAUAUCAUUUUUUAUCAACUAAUAAUAAUAAUAAUAAUAAUACAUGGCCUAACUCCUCUUAGGUAACAAAAUAGAUUCAUAAGCUCUCUUCUAGAGUCUUGAAUUUCGAUCUUUACCUCCUUCACAUUACACAAACACUUAUACUUGUAGAGUAAUUAUCGCAUUAAGGGUGUGUGGUGGUUAAAAAUAAUAAUAAUGUUCAAACUAAACAAUUUUGGUUGGUAUUAGAGUAAUGCUAGAGAUACAAUAAGAUGUCACAAUAAUUUCACAUCUCUAAAUUAGCAUACCAACUUACAAAUGGACCAAACUCAAUCUCUUAUUUAAAAAUUUUGGUAUAAUAAAUUAGGAAUGUUGUGAAAUUAUUGUGAUAUUUUGUUGGAUCCUUAUGUAUUACUCUUGUAAUUAACAACACUAAAAUGGCAAAGCCAUUGAAAAAAUAAAAUACUUAAAUAGUUUAAAAUUGUAGCAUGCUUUUUAACUACAAUAGAGUGAGAGAGGGCUCAAUUGUGUGUGAAGAAGAAGAACGAAGGAAACGAAGAAGAACUCACCUAUGUUUCCUAGUAGGGGUGUGCAUGGGUCGGGUUAAGGAGAUUUUUUGACCCAACCUAUUAUGGUGGGUCAAAAAAAAUUUAACCCAACCUAAUCCAUCACAUAAGUCCAACCCAACCCACAUGGGUCGGGUUGGGUUGGAUUGAAACCAUAAGUUUGAGAAAUUUAUUAUUAUUAUUAAAUUGAGUAGAAAAAAUAUAAAUAUAAAUAUAUUAAAAAAACCCAAAAAUUAGUAUCAAUGUAACUCCUUAAAGGCAAACAACACAAAUAAUAAAAAAACCCAAAGAUUAGUAUCAAUGUAACUUCUUAAAGGCAAACAACACUAAUGAUUAAAUAACAAUAGUAAUUUACUAGGGUUUGUGUGAACUAAUUGUCUUUUAUAAAAAAACCCAAAGAUUAGUAUCAAUGUAACUCCUUAAAGACAAACAACACUAAUGAUUAAACAACAAUAGUAAUUUAUUAGAGUUUGUGUGAACUAAUUGGCUUUUAUAUAAGACAGGAAGAGUUAGUUAUUUUAAAAUUUUUAUUAAUUAUAUAUAUAUAUAUAUAUUAAAUAUAUGGGUGGGUUGGGUUGGGUUUGGCGGGUUUGAAAUUUUAUGACCCAAACCCAAUUUGACCCGCUAUCAAAAUUUUUUUUAUAACCCAACCCAACCCAACCCACCAAGCCCUAAAAACUGACCCAACCCGGCGAGUUGGGUUGGGUCGGAUUGGUUUUGGCAAGUUGGCGAGUUGGCUGUACACUGCUAUUUCCUAGUGGAGAAUAAAUUUGGGAUUAAAAAUUUAUUAGUUUGUAAGCCAUGUGUUUUAAUGUUGUUAUCAUUUCAGUUUAAAAUUUUUUGGUUUAUAAGCCAUGUGUUUUAACGUCUAAGGUGUUCAAAAAAAUUUUUUGGGUAGUUAAAACAAAAAAUAUUUUAUAUAUAAAAAAAUUUCCCCAAAUCAGGGUAUUCAUUUGAACACCCUUUCUUAAACGUGGUGCUGCUACUAUAAGAAUGGUUUUCAGACCCGGACUAUUCAAUGAACCGUAAAAGAGAGAGGUUCAAAGUUUUUGAGGUUAAACUGAAGUCGAAUCGGAAUCGAACUGUAAUGACGUCAUAAUUAGUUUAAUAAUUAUUUAAAAUAUAAAUAAAUAUAUUAAAUUAGUACAAAAUAGAAGAAUUAACUAAAAUAGUCUAAUUAAAACUAUAAAUCCAUAUUUUAACUGUGUCUAAUAUAUUCAUCUCAAGCCCAAAUAUGAAAUAUCUAUCUAAUAAUAAUAAUAACCAAUUUUUUUUAUUUAAAAAAAAAUUAAGGACAUUAAUUUGUACCGGUACAAGUGGACAAAAGAGGAUGAUAUGAUGUAUCAUCAUAUCAUGUGGGGCUCAAGAGGUUUUGUAAGAAACAAAGUCUCAGACUUGUCUUUCCAAUUUCCACUUUCCUAUGCCCAUGUGACUAGCUCACAGCCCUAAAAAACAGCACUACAAACAAAAGCGACUGAAAUUAAAGGAAGAGAUAAAAAAAGCAAUACAAACAAAAGCAGUUGAAAUUAAAGGAAGUGAGAAGUCAGAAACGGCUCCAGAAGGUAGAAGCUGAAAGAACAAGAAGAAGGAGAAGCUGGUAUCUAGCUGAAACAAGAAACAAACCUGAGAAGAUAUAAAAUUGUGGGUAGUAACGUAGCUCUAUUUUUUUUUUUUCUCUCUUUUUUGAUUUCUUUUUACUUUUAUUCAAAUUCUUUACCAGUGGAUAUUUUUUUUCGACCAAAAUAUAGUAAAUAUUCCGGUACGAUGCCGUUUAAGGCAUUAAAUUUUUUUUUAAAAAAGGGACCUAUGAGAACCGCAAGAACCGUUCACAGUUCUCAGAACCGUGAGGUCCGCCUGCAGUUCGCACGAGUCUCUGAUUUUUUUCCAUAGAGUGGUUCUUGAGGCUAAAAGAACCGCAAAAAUGAGAGGUUCGCAAUUUUUCCAGUUGAACCGUACGGUUUGCUCCGGGUUUCAAAACUAUGGUGUAGGGAAGCUUCUAGAGAAAAUAUGAGAAAUAUCUUGGAGAGAAUUCCGGAAAUAGAGCAAGAGAGAAAUGUCUGGAAUUAGAGAGAUUUCUAGAAAGAGAGAGAGAGGCAGUGCUUGAUUUUUAACAGUCCUUUGAAACACGUACUCCAUUUAUAUCAAUAAUUUAUUUCAACAUUGUUAAAAAUAACGAAAAAGAAAGACAUUGAUCUAAGUAUGUAUUAUACUCAUCAUCUAAUGGACAAAGAUGAUGCGAAGAGCGGAAGAGGAAAGAUGUUUAAAAAGAGACAAGGGAUCUUUAGUUUAGGAACUAAUCCAUCCCUAUCCAUUAUGUUUACCACCUAACAAAAUUGGAUCAAAGAACAAAGAAUAACAAAAGUACUCAAAAUGUUUAUAUAUAGAAAUCCUGAGUACAGCUGUUCUUAAGAGUAUAACUCGUACCGUCCCUUUUUGUUAGGUUUCUUUAACAGUUUUAACUUAGAUCGUUUAAUGCAUUAUCUUUUUUGCUAAAAAGUAGUGUUUGAUUAGAAGCUUAUAUAUGCUCCUAACAGCAAGUGAAUAUAGUGACAGAUUCAACAUGGAAUCAAAGUCUGCCACGAGUGCAACUGUCCUUAUAUUUCUUGACGUUGACAAUUAUUUGGAAUGGAGUCUUCAAGUGAAAACCAAUUUGACGGCUCAAGGUCUCUGGGACGUCGUGGAAGCAGCCAAUGAACCUCCUAAAGCAAAAACGGAUGAAGCAGCCAAUGAACCUCCUAAAGCAAAAACUGAUGAAGCUGCUUCUAAAGCUUGGACCAAAAAGAAUGACAAGGCUUUAAAAAUGAUCCAGAAUUCUUGCACGAGCCACUUAUGUUCUGCGAUUAGUAUGAUUACUUCUGCCAAAGUUGCGUGGGAUACUUUGGCAGCAAUAUGCGAACUCCCCAAAGAUGGUUACAUAGGUAUAUGUCUCUCUUUAAUUGUCAUAAAAAAAAGUAUCUCUCUUUAAGUUUGAGAAUAAAUUGGGUCAGGAACUGGCGUAAAAUGUGUGUUUUACGCCAGCCAAUCCUAACCCACCACGUCAGCAAAACAACUUAUUUUUAGUAAACUCAAAAUACAAAACUUUAACUCAAUUAAAACCCAUCAGCAACACAACACAACAACACGUUAAGACUUCAGAAACCUAAGCAUAAAAUUAAAAUAUCCUCAUCCUCCUUACACCAGAGCUCCAGCCCGCCACAGUUGUCGCCGGAGUUGUUGCUGGAAUCAUGAUUUGGAGCUGAAAAAAAAUUCAUAAGAACCUAGGCUAGCUGAAAAAAAGAAGAAAAAACCUUUUUUUAUUUUUGGGUUUGAACCCGCCACUCAAGAAUCCAAUCAAACCCAAUGAAAAUACAAAAAAACAGCAAAACCCAUACCAAAUCAAGUAAUUGAUAUCCAAAAAAUUAUCCAAAUCCAACAAUAUUUUGAAAUUCAAAGUUUGGGGAAAUAACAAAUCAUAAAAAAACACACCUUGAGUCGCGACACCACACUUGCAACGGCUCCAACAGAUUUCACCAGCUCCAAAAACGAUGUGGGCAGCAGCAUUUGUGACAGGGUGGAGCUCCGGUGUGAGGAGGAGGAGAUGAGAUUUGGGUUUGCCGUGCUCCAGGUCUGAAGUCUGAAUGUGUUGUUGUGUUGUGUUUGAAAGGGGCUGAUGGGUUUUUAAUUGGGUGAUGGUUUUGUGUUUUGAGUGUACUGAAAAUAAGUUGUUUUGUUGACGUGGUGGGUCAGGAUUGGCUGGCGUAAAACCCACAUUUUAUGCAGCUCCUGACCCAAUUUAUUCUCUUUAAAUUUAUAUUAAGAAUAAAAUAAAUUACUUCUGUUGGAGCUUUUUUAUUCACUUAAAUAAUGAAUUAUUAUAAGUUUGAAUUAUGGAUUUCUUUUCUUUACUAAAAAUUCAAUUGUUUGUCAAUAUUUGAUUGAGAAUAAAAAUAUAAAUUUAUAAUAAUUAAUGAAUAAAUUCUCUUGCUGGUUUAAAUUUUAUUUGGGUGGAUGGUUGUGAGCUUCCCCGCUAUCCAUUUUCAGUGUGUUCUUUCUUUUAGAUCUUCUAAAUUUACAAGUUAAAUUUAACUAGGUAGAAAAUGUUGUAAAAUCUCUUGCUGCUAAAUUAUAUUUAAAAAGAUUUUUAGUAUAAAACUUAAGGAGAAUCUCAGAUCUUAAUGAAACGUAGUAUAACCUAGAAACGUAGAACAGCUAAAAGGGGAUUCAAUCCCGACUUUUGAACUAAGAAAAAAGAUUUUUAUAGGAUUAGAUUGUACUUGCUAUGUAAAAAUUUACAUUGUAAUACACAAAAAGUGGUAAACAUUGUACACAUUUAUAAAAUGUAUAUAAUAUUUAAUACUUUUUACAAAUGUGUAUAAUAUAUACCACUUUUUGUGCCAUGUAAUUUUAUAUUGCAAGUACAAUGUAAACGAAGAAUUAUCAUUAAAAAAUGUAAAACUGUAAAAAGUACAAAAAAGAAAAAAUGAAAGCGAAAUUUUUAUCAAAGAAAUAAGAAGAAAAUUAUAUUUUAUAUCCUUUAAUUAUACUACAUUUUAUACUCACACCUAAUCUACGAGAAUGUCUAUUUACCAUUAUUGGCGAAGCCAACGGGCCCUGGCUCUUGAAAAAUUUUCCUUAGAGCCUUUAAAAGAGGCAGUAAAAUACUAAAAAUUAUAAAAAUUAAAAGGAAAUUUCAAUUACUGCUUAGCAUAAAAGUAUUGUUUUGACUUUUACUAGUUUAACUAUUGUGUGCUGUACGGCUGUAGUUCAUUGAACUUUUUUAACCUUGCUAACUUGUAGCUGUUUCUAAGUUUUGGUAAAAAAAUAUUGGGUUGUGUUUACGCCUUUACGGUGCCGUUAAUCAUGGUUUUGAAAUUUGGAUCGGAUCAGAUGGACGAAUUGGAUUAACUGGAAACUGGUCACUGAUCCGGUUUUUUAAACACAAAAAACUGGAAAUUUAACUUUUGUAGGAAACCGCUCGAAUUGUGUUCAAACCGUCCAGUUUGAUAGACCGUGCACGGGUUUUCUGGUCAGACCUGGGCUUUUUGUUUGAAAAUAUUCAUUGAAAACUUGCCGGAAGUUUUGAAUCUUAUCAUCGUCGAGAGGGUCAUCUUGUUUGCUAGAAGCCGAAAGUAGCAGAUCUUGUUUGCUAAAAUUGAUGUUUUGGGGAGAUUUUGCUCGUAUCUGUUUUGGAAGAGAGGGAGGAGAGUUUGCUCAAAUCAGUUCUGGAAGAAAUAGGGCCGGGAGAGAAAGAAAACAAGAAGUGUGUGAGGGAAAGAAAGAAAAGACUAGCCUAGUGGUAGUGUACUAGUGGGCAGGGGUCUAAUGGUUUUAUGAGGAUGGGAAAUACCUUUUUUUUUGGUAAAUAGGAUGGGGAAUAUUGACGCUUGGGGAAGAGAGUUUGUUUGGGGAAAGGGUAAAUUAAAUGCACAAGUGGACAUUUUCUUUAAUGCAUUUAUUUUUGUAUUUAUUGUGCGUUUGGGUUCUCUGUGUUUGCGCUUUUUUUUUUUGAACCAACGUCUCUUGCACUGUUCAUGGGACAUGAAGCCAAUGAACAGUAAUUUUUUAAAAUUUUUUUUAGUUUUUAGUUUUCAGCAAAAUAAGCUGUAUCCAAACGGAUUUUUAAUUUUAAAUGUUAAACUUUUUAACCAUUAAACUUUUUAAUUUAAUAUAUUAAGAUAAACUUUAAAGUAAUAUUUUAAACUUGAAAGUGCUGCAUCUCUAUAUUUAUUUGUACUAUUUUAAUAAAAUAUUCUAUUUGUAAUAAUUUUAUACAUUUAUUUAUAUUUAAAGUAAUUAAUAAUUUAAUUAUGAUAUUAUUACGGUUCGACUUUAGUUUAAUUUUGGUUCUACCUUAAAAAUUUUAAAUCUCUCACUCUUUUGGUUCUUUGAACGGUUCGGGUUUCAAAACCAUGCCGUUAAUAUUAACUUUUGGCUUUUUUUUGUACAAGUUUUUGUCUUUUUUUGCAGUUUUAUGUCAUAUUUUUUAGUGUGGGGUCAACUUUAUAAAAAGAAAAAAUAUUAAAAUAACCAAAAAGUUUUAUAUUCUUUUAAUUUUUUUAUUUAAUUUUUUUUAUUAAAUGGGACUCACUUUUGUACAACCUUAACAAGCACCUAAGCUGUGCUUAUUAACAUUUGCCAAAAAUAUUAACGUGUGGCUGUCAAUUUUUUUAUAACGUAUUUUUGUAUAAUUUUAUAAAUAUGCUACACUUGUUAUUUAUUUAUUUAUUUUUUUAGAAGAUACCAGCCUUGUUAAUUGAGUGAACAUAUGUAUCUUUCUGUCUACGAAUGUUAUAUAUAUAUAUAUAUAAUUUAUAUUUGUUUUGAGAUAAAGGAAAAUAACUGCUUAAUUACUUGGUUUAAUCUCUUUAAUCUAAAUAGUACUUUUCACCUUAUUCUUUAUACUGGAUCCUAAAUUACUUAGAACACGAUUCUAGAUUAUGACAACUGAUACGAGUAUAUUUUAUUAAUCAAUGAAAUGAAAUAUUCGUUGAGCUUUCCUCAAAGCUUGUCCAUCUUUUAAAAGAAAUUUAUGGCUUCGCCACUGCUUACCAUCUAAAUUAUUACCCAUAUAACACUUGCUUCCCUAAACUAUAAGAAUGUACACUUAUCCUCUAAAUUAUUUCCCACGUGGAACACUUUGCAUCCUAUUCCAUGAGUAAUAAUUUAAGGAAUUAAGUGUGUAUUUUCAUAGUUUAAGGCGAUAAGUGUAAAGGGGUAUAGUUUAAAGAGGUAAAAUUUGUAUUUUCAUAAUUUAGGAGAUAAGUGUAAAAGAUGAUAUAAUUUAGGGGGUAAGUAUGCAUCUCAUAGUUUAAGAGAGGUGACUGUAAAAAGAGAUAUAGUUUUAGGUGAAUAAAGUGUAAUUUUCCAGAGAAAUUAGGGUAUUGCAUGCGAGCCAAAUCCGCUAAAAUGUAUUAUAACCUAUACCAUUAGCCAUUAGGGCACUAUAGGUUUAAAAGCAUCUACACACAACUAGUUUUGUAAGUGAGAAUGAUAUAUUUAUUUGUUGUUCUUCCAGUUCCUGCUUUAGAAACUUUUGAGGCUUGGAGCAACCGGAUGAAAAAAUAUUUGCGGGAUCUUCAUGUUUGGGACAUUGUUGAAGCAACUACUGAACCUCCGACGCCAGAUGAUGAAAUUGCUUUUAAGGCUUGGAGCAAGAAGAAUGCCUUGGCUUUAUAUUUGAUCUGGGAAUCGUCCGAAGCAUAUUCUUUGAUUGGGAAUUGUACAACGGCCAAAACUGCUUGGGAUCGUUUAGCAGAAUUGAUCAAGCCAGAAAGAGGUAGUUAUCUCUCUAAUAUAUCUAGAAAAUGCACAUGCUUAAAACUCUACAAGAAAAUCACAUUUUUUUUACUGAAAAAAAAAAAAAACGCUUAAACACUUAGAAGGUAUUUGGUACGUGCACUUAAAAACUAAAAUCUUGUAUUUGAAAAAUAUGUGUGAAUGAAAAAGUGUGUGAAAAUACUUGUAAUAUUGUUUAAAAACUGAAAACAUGUGUUUGAGUGAGUGUAUCAAACGGGGCCUUAACUUCUCUCUAUCUCUCUCAUUUGAAUUUAUUUUUAUUAAUUUUUAAACUAAAGGAAGAGAAAGAUAUUAUACACAUUUAAAGUGCAAAUUCAUGAAGACGUGGUCGUAUGUGAUUAGUCUGGUAUCUUUUUGAUAUAGAAAUUAAAUUCAAGACGUUAGACAAAAUAAAUUCAAAUCACAUGAUUAGCCAAUUAUACAAAAUUGGCUCCAUAUAUCCCCACCAGGGUACUCCGGUGAUGGGUUCAUUGAUUUGGUGUGUGAAAAUUAUAAGAGUUUUACAAAAUUGCUCCCACAUGCCAUUUCGCUCGACUGAAACUCCAAUUUAUACAACUUCAAUUUGAGCUCAUGAGAUCUCAACCCAAUUACACAUAGACACACAAAAUACGAAGUAUUUGUAUGAUCAAUUACAAGUAAACUUUGAAACUGAAUAUCCCAACACAAUAAAAACCUAACAGGAUCAUUCCACUUGCCUAGAAUGAUCAGGAUCAAUACAAGAUUGUUCAGAUUCAAGAGUCGUUUGCAGGAUCAUGUGGAAUCUUACAAUCCUAGCAAUUCCAAGUGAUCUUAGUUUUUGGUCGUACAAUUUGUAGGAUCUCUUUGCAUUCCUGUAUCAGUGAACGACUCUGCGUUCUUCAAUGGAGAGAAUGGCAAAAAGACUCACCUCCAUUUGAAUUGUUGAACAGAAUAGAUGCAAGCAGUGGCGGCGCCACAUCAAACCCCUUGCUUUGAAAAAAAAAAAAAUUAUAUUCAAUAUUUUUUAAUGUUUUUGUUUUGACCACCUUAAAAUAAAAAUUUGAACACCCUAAAAAAGCUCAACAACAAACCAAUUUAAUCAUAAACCUUUAUCUUGUCAUUAAAAAAAAAAAAAAAAAAAACCAAUUUGAUCUAAAACCUGGAAAAAAAUAGCAAGCCUAACAACAAAAAUUAACAAUUUGUUGAUUUUAAAUCUUAAAAAAUAAAGACAAUUAAGUGGAUAGUAAAGUGUAAACACCAAAAACAAUUAAGUGUGAGAUAGAUGAAGUGGGGCUUGGGACAAUGGAGAGUGAAGAUAUAUAUAUAUACACAUAUACACACACACAUAUAUAUUCAUGGUUGUAUUUGUUAUGUUGAAUUCUUAAUUGAGUAAUGCAAAAGACAACGAAAACUCUUAGCUAUAAGUUGUUAAAAUUGAGUUGAAUUACUAUAUAAAAAAAAAUUGAAAAGAGUAAAGAUAAUGAAUGUUCAUUCGCUAUAACUUUUCUGUUUUUGGUCUUGUGAUUUACUUUAUGAAGCAUUUCAACUAAAUUUAAUGGGAUUUGAUGAUUUGUCAAGUGCUAACAACGUGGAAUUGGGACACAACUCUCGGGCAAAUAAUAUUUUUCGUUUAUUCAAUUGUGAAAUCUAAAACAAAAAUAAUCUUGUAACUUUUCUGUAACAUACUCUAAAUCUUUUGAUUUGUAUAGUAAAAUUAUGAAAAACUUGGCAGGGGUGAAUUACGUUGUUCAAUAUGUAUCCCUUCAAAAGAAUAUCCGCGAUGGUAAUUGGGAUGCUGCUUAUCAAUUCCUUAGUUCCCAUCCAGAGGCAGCGAAUGAACAAAUUUCAUUUAAGGGAUGGACGCCACUACACAUUGCUGUCCUUGCUGGAAAAAUGGAUAUUGUGGAAAAGUUGGUGGAUAAAGAUAAACAAAUAAUGGAGGACGACAGCUUUACAAUAAAAGAUGAAGACGAUCUCACGGUUCUUGGUUGUUGUGCUCUUACUAGAAACAUCGAUAUGGCAAGAUGCAUAAUUGAAAGGUGUCCAAUCUUACUUAGCAUUGAGAACGGAAAAGAAAAUCUCAUUCCAGUCGUAUUGGCUCUUACCAACUCUGACAUAAUAGACAUGGCUCGCUACCUCUAUUCUGAAACUUCUUUGAAAGAUUUAAUGCCAGGAAAUGGCGUCAAUGGUGCCACGUUUAUUACUCAGUGCAUUUAUGCUAAGGCUUUUGGUAAGAAUUUCAAUUAAAUUUGACUAUACAUACGCUGUUAUAUCUAUGCUUUGAAAUCACAGAGAAUUUUCACCGUAUGGAUUCCAAAAAAAAAAAAAAAUCACUAUAAUUCGUUUUAAUUAAUUACUUAUGUUUGCUCAAUAGAUAUGGCUUUGGAUUUGCUCGGAUGGUAUCCUGCUUUGGCUAUUGCUCUAGAUUUUAAUGGGGAGUCCCCUUUGUUGGCAUUAGCUUCCGUGUCUUUGGCAUAUCCGAGUGGACAUGGGCUCGUAUCUUGGAAAAAAUGGAUCUACAAUAGUGAGUUUCAAUUUCUUUUUCCAUACUUCCGAUUAAAUUAUUAUGUUAUUUUGCACAAACACCUUGGUUGGAUCUAGUUUAUAAUAACAUUACCUGUAGGCUACAGGCUGUAGCACCAUACAAUAACGAGACGAGUGAAAUCAUGAUUUCAUCUUUGUAGUGUCAAAAUACGGAAAAAAAUCACAAUUUAAAAAUAAGAAAUAUACUAACACAUGAAAAUCCAAAGUAAACCAGCAUAUAUUCGCUAUUAACAAAGUAAAUUAAACAAAAAACACAAGAUAGUUGUUUCUUAAUAUAUUUAUUUAAUUUUAAUCAUCUAUCAAAUCAAUACAGGAUUCGGUGUUUUUUCUUUAAUCCUAAAAAUCAUUUACAAUGACAUGUACAAAUCCUGCAAAAAAAAAAAAACAGAGAAAAAAGAGAGAUGUACAAACAUAGGGAGACCAACAAGAGUGACUUGUUAAAAUAUCAUAUGAUUACAGAGAAUUUCUGAAAAUAGGAUUUAAAAAAUGGCUAGUAUAAAGAAGGAAGAAAGGAUAGCAUGAUGUGUAAAUUCUUACUAAUUUUAAGCUCACAUAAUAAAAUAAAAUAAAAAGGGGAAAAUCACACCGCACCAACUUUGUUGCAAAGAUCUUUGGAGCCUAAAACAAAGAAAAGAAGUGCUAUUUUUACAAUAUUUUUACAACAAUUCCAUAACAAAUCAUAUGUGGUAAGUUGUUAUUAAUUCAAAUUUAAAUCUACUACUGAAAUUACUUUUUUGUUCACCAACAAUAACCCUUAACAACCUGUCAUUUAUGAUUUAUUAUAAAAGUGUUGUGAAAAUGUUGUAGACUUAGCAUUUCUCAACAAAGAAACACAAUUAAACCAGCCCAAAAAUAAUGUUCUUUCUACCUAAUUAAAAUUAAAAAUAUAUUUAACGUCACACUUAUGCUAUCGCUUCAUGAUUAAAUAAUGCACGAAACAGUUGUAAAACGUAUUUAUAUAUCAUUAAUAUAUAAAAAGUCAAAUUAUAAAAUUUGUAGUAAAUUUUAUGUAAUUUAUUUAGAUUUUUUUAUGUAAGAUAAUUCAUUUAGAAUUUGUUUAUUGCUUAGUCUAGUAGAACUCUGAAUUAUGAAUGUUUUCUAUUACACAUAACACUUGAGCACUUCUUAUAACUUUGAAAAUAAAAAUCUAAAUGAAAAUAAAAAUAUUAUAAUGCUGACAUUGAAAGACAAGAGCUUUAAAAAAUUAUGUUACAAUAUUAGAAGAAAUUACAAAAAAUUAAAAAUCUGUCAAUAUUACAUUAACAAGGGUAUUCAGAAUUAUUUGAACACCUGAUUAUUCUUCUGAAUGUUCAAAGCCCUUUUUACUUGAGAUGUAAUUGAAAAUUCCUGCUGCAAGGUUUAUGCAUUUACCAGACCGUAGACAUCUAUCAAAUUUUUAGAGCCUUCCGAAACCCACACAUGGAAAAAGGUGGUCAAAUAAGAAAGAGGGUAUCAGGUACAAUGCUGUCUAAACUCUCUUUGCUUAUGACUUUUAUUUUGUCACGAUGAAAAUCAUAUUUGUUGGUAAAUUUAUUUUUUUCACAUGAUAAAUAAUAAUAAGAAUAAUUUUCUUUUCAAUGUAGAUAAUAGUGAUAAAUUUCUUUCUUCUCUUUUUUUUUGGUGACUGACAAUAUCGAAACUUAGAAAUUAAUUAUAGCAUUUGCAUUAGUUUGUGCAAAAUUUUAUUUCUAUUUUAAGAUAAAAACUAACUUUUUAUUUUUUAUUUUACAUAAUCACUUUUUAAAAAUACUCGCAUCUAAUUAUGUAUUUUACAAUUUACAUUAUAUUUUAUUAAAAUAUUAUUUUUCAUCAAUUUUUUUAUUAAUCUACCAAAUCAUCUCUCUCUAUGAGUAAAGAAAAUAUUAAAAACAAAUUUGUGUAUGAAUAGUAACUGUGUAUGUUUGCACGGUUACUGUAGCUAGAAUCUUAUUUUGCACAAUUUUGCAUGGGUUGAUGUGAGUCGUUUUUUAGGCUGAUUUGGCAAAUUGUGGGGUUUAUACUGUUUUACAUGGACUGAUGUGAAUGUUAAAUUUGGUUUUCAAUAUCUAGUACUAGAUUAAUAUGUAUGACAUUGUUUGACAAUAAGAGAAAAAAGAAGAAAGAAAAAAAUUUAAAUAGAAAAACAUUAAGUUAAGAUUUAAAAAGGAAAAAAAUUUGAAAAUCUUAAUAACUUUGUGUCAAUCAAGUUUUAUUUACUAUUCGAUCUAUAAGCUUAUUUCCUAAGUGUAAUUUUAGACUAUAAAAACUUUAAAUUUAAAUAUUUGAUUAAUGACAUAGCAUGUGUUAGUUUGUGUAAAUCAUGUGUUUAUUUUAUUUUUUCUGUUUUUUAGGAAAAAAACAUUUUUUAAUGAAUUUUUCAUAGACGGAAAGUAUUAAUGGAUACCCUAAGGGCAUUGGUUUAGGAACUAUUUAAAAAAAUUUUAUGGGAAAAGAAAAAAAACAAUUAAUUUUUUUACGGCUUUUUAUAUUUUCCCUGAAAGUGUUGUCUAAAUUUUUUUAAAAUUGUUUAUUAACAAUUACCGUAAGAACACCCAUUAAUAUGACUAUUUUUUUAAUAACAUUAAAAAAAAAAAAAAAAGAACUAAGUCAUUUUAUAGGUUACUAAUAGCACAAUUUUUAUUUUUGAUAUAGACUAAAGGAAUGACUUAAUUGAAUAAAAUUGAAACUUAAAGGAUUGAAUUUAAUGAAAAUGAAUACAUCUUAUUUAUUCAAGUAAUAGCAAGAAGAUUUGCAACAUAACAGUCAUGGAGAUCCGGGAGAACAGACUCCAUCCAGACUAGGCCUAUACAAGGUGCGGUGCGGCCGGUUAGGGGGGGGGGGGAUUUUGCACCACACCUAUAGGCUGCGGUUUGCCCUUAUGCUUGACCGCACCUCACAUAUGAAGGGUAAGAACCGGUCUACACCAAGUUCGGUUGACCAUAGUGGGGUAGUGUGGUUAAUUCGAUGCAAAAAUAAAACAAACAAAUAAUUCAAAAAAAAAAAAAAAAGAAUCAUCAAGCAACCCACAAAAAUAUCAAACAACCCAAAUAUUCAAAAAAAAAAAAAAAAACAGACAAACAUGUUCAAAAUCUUUCGCAAAAUUUUCAAACAAAUUCUCCAUCUUUCUAAAAAGCAUUGCAAGGAGAAGCAGGUAUAUAUUGAGCAUUAUAUAAAUUUUCAUACCUGGAAGAAAGCAUUGAGAGGAGAACCAUAGUAGCUACGUAUUAAGCAUCAAAACAUUCUCUUGAAAUUUCUAGACAAUAGUUGUGACAAAGAGGAGAGAUGAAAGGGGAAACCUUGGAAACGGUAGCAUCCAGUGGACGACGGUGGUGGGCUGGUGGCGAAGGCAGGGGCUGAGGAAUGAUAGAGAGAGAGAGAGAGAGAGAGAGGGGAAAGGGGGAGAGGCGGACAAGAGAUUAGAGAUAAGAGAAGACAACAUUUAAAAGAGAUUCAGAAAUUUAACCUACAAAUUAAAACGAUGUCGUUUUGAACUUAUUAUUAAAAUUAAUAUUAGUUUCAAAACGACGUCGUUUUGUAUAAGAUUUUAAAAAAAAUUAAUGGAACGAUGUCGUUUUAAAUCACUAAACCUAACCCCAGGGGCGGAGCCAGAGGGGGGCGAGGGGGGGCACCUGCCCCCCCUGACUCCUAAAGUAUCCUUGCAUGUGUAGUCUACUCUAGCUAUUCCCUGACAUAAAGAAAAAAAAAAAAAGAAAAAAAAAAAAAGAACUAGUCUACUCUAGCUACUCCCUGACAUAGAGAAAAAAAGAACUCCCACUUGAAAGUGACACAGGAAAAAGAAGUUACUCUUAAAGACCAAGCCAUGUACCUUUUUGCCAAUUUCACCAUUCUUAUAAGCAGCUUUUGUCUGUCCAGCGUUGUACCUAUUUUACUAUUUUUUUUCUUUUUUAUUUAAUAUCAUUAUUUUCGCAAUUUUCACUGUAAUAUCUUUCACAACAUUUUAUUAUUAAGUGAUGCUAUAGAUAUUACAAAUUUUACUACUUAUGUUUUACAAAUUGACAUCUCACUAACCACAAAAAAUAAUUUCAAACAUAUAUUCAUUAUAUCGUUUAAGUAACACUAAUCACAUUUUUACCACAUCAAUUUGUAAAAUUUGUAAUAGCUAUGACUAAGAACUGGUUAUUUUUGUUUAUUUAUUUUAAUACUAUGAAAUAUAUUCAUAUUUUCUUGUGAUUGUUUAUUUACUUUGUUAUUAUUAUUGAUUAAUAUUUUUAGAUUAAUUUUACUUUUAAUAUUGUUUUUUAAUUUUGCCCCCUCUAGACUAAAAUCCUGGCUCCGCCAUUGCCUAACCCUAUUUUUUUUCUCUUCUUCCUUCCUUCUCCUUUCUCACUUUCACGCCUCUUUUGUCUAUUGCAUAGCACUGGUACUCUAUAUCUCUCUCUAGAAGUUUCUUUUAUUUUAAAACUGAAACAUGAUUACAUAUAUGUAUAUGUUAAACUACAUGUAUUGAUAUACAUACAUAGCGGUCGGUUUGGUUACACAUCGGAAUGCAAAACCCACAACCGCUCGCCGCACCAGCCAUUGUCGGUACUUGCAAAUCGUCUCUGACCACCACGCCAUACACCCCUGGUGAAGCUCAAAUGGGUGCGGUUCGGAUCGGUGCAGAACGGUUUUGUCCUAGCUCUCUUGACUAAGGCAUGAGCUAAAGUAUUACCUUGCCAAAAAAUGUGAGAGAAAGAGAAACUUCGUAAAGAGUUAGCAUAAUACGAAGUGUCUGGAACAAAAUGACCAACUGAAGAGUGCAUCAGAUUUUUGUGACAGAGAGCAUUGAUCAAUACUUCUGAAUCUCCCUCAAAACUUGAACUGUGAAAUCCUAGUUCAUGGAUGAAAAGAACCGCUCUUCUAGCUGCCAAUGUCUCCAACAUAAGGAUUGAAAAUGGCAUGGGGAUUUUCUCAGACAUAGCCGCCAUAAUUUCCCCUUGAGAGUUUCGAACAACCAACCCGAUACCUGCUGCGUUCAAGUCUUCAAAAAUAGCCCUGUCGAAAUUUAUUUUUAGUUCAUCUGGAUCAGGGGGUUUCCAAGUAGGCCUAGCUGGGCUGACAAGUUUUGAAUGGAUCGGGUUAGCUGUCCGAAAUUCCGGCAGAAGUUUAUGGGCUUGUUCUUUGAGCUUUUCCAGUGGUAUCACAGUUUCAUUUAACCUGGCCUUGUUUCGACAAUUCCAUAUAGCCCAGCAAGUCAUAGCAAAUAAUCCUGGAUUAAUGUUUUUGAUAGGACCAAAUCCACCAGCUCAAAGAAAGAACCAAAAGAUUGACCAGCACAUUAUACAUUAUUGAAGAACGUAUGCCAUACUGGUCUAAGUAGCUCACAAACCCACAAAGUAUGGAGUAUAGACUCCAGUUCCUUUAGACAAAAACAAUAUGUAGGGUCUGCCAGAAUCUUGCGCUGUACCAGAUUACAUUUAGUGGGCAAAAAAUUUGUGCAAGCCCUCCACAAGAAAGUCUUCACCAUAUUGGGUACUUUUAACUUCCAAAACUUCUUCCAGAAAAUCUUUGAAGAACCGGCAGGUUGGCAAGAUGCUAGAGCACUGUUACUUCCCUCACAAAGAGAGUGAUAACCUGUUUUGACAUAAUAUAAACAAUUUGUAGACACAAGCCGGCAUAAAAGGUCGGAUUGAGAGGAUACACACAGAGCAAUAGAUUUAAUAUUUUGUGCUACAUCAGGGAGAAAAAGGCUAUCAAUGAGUGUCGUAUUCCACCAUCUUGAUUCCUCAUCGAUCAAAGAAGAGACGGUGCAAUCUUUGGGUUGAAAAGAUAGAGGGGGAGUCACUCUUCCAUCCCCUUCUCCAGGCAGCCAGUUGUCUUUAUAAUUCCGAAUUGUACCACCAUCCCCAACCCUCCAUUUAGCACCAUUAACAAUGAGACUUUGAGCUUUCAAAAUACUUUUCCAGGCAUGAGAGCCCGAUGAAGCUUUUGCAGUAAAAACAGAACCAUUAGGGAAGUACUUUUUUUUUUUUUUUUUUGAGAAACAUUAGGGAAGUACUUGGCCUUGAAGACUCUAUAAAAUAGAGAAUUUGUGUCAUGAACCAGCUGCCAAACUUGUUUACCCAACACUACUACAAUGAACUUUUCUAGAUUAUGAAAUCCCAAACCACCAUCUGAUUUUGGCCUACAUAGACACUCAAUUUUUCCAAUGAAUUUUUCUUCUAUCACCCCUUUGUCCCCACCAAAAUUUCCGUAUUGUCAUCUCAAUAUUCCGACAUAAACUCACUAGUAGUUUAAAACAACUUAUAGUAAAGGUGGGAAUGACUUGCAUUAAAGUCUUCAACAGUACCUCCCUUUCGGAUUGCGACAAGAGUUUUUCCUUCCAAUCCUGUAGUUUAUUUCACACUCGCUUCUUAAUAUAAUUUAAGCUAGCUCGCUUAUUUUUUCCCACCACAGCGGGCAGUCCUAAGUAUUUCUCAUACUCCUUUAUUUCAAGAACUCCAAGGACGUCUUUGACGGAGUUUUUUUAAAGAAAUGAUAUAGACUUACUGAAAAACAGGUUAGUCUUUUGUCUAUUUAUUUGUGACCAGAUGCCAACUCAUACUAAUUUAAAAUAUCUUGAAUAGCUUGAAUAUCCCCCAUACUAGCCCAGCACAAAAGUAAGUUGUCAUCAGCAAAGAAGAGGAUUGAUAUUUGAGGACCAUUAUGACAAAGAGAAAAGUCUUGAAUAUGACCAUCAUUCACAGCUUUUUGAAACAAACCAUUUAAUCCCUUCGAACAUAGAAGAAAAAGAUAAGGGGAGAGAGGGUCCCCUUGUCUAAUGUCUCUUGAAGGUUUGAUAUUUCCUUUAGGUUCACCAUUAACCAAAAUAGAGUAGGACACAAUGCUAAUACACUCCAAAAUUAACCCUAUCCAUUUUUGGUUAAAGCCCAUUUGCUCCAUCAACUUGGCUAGAAAAUUCCACUCCAAAUGGUCAUAAGCCAUGCUCAUAUCAAGUUUGAGAGUCAUGAAACUUGUUUUUCCCCCUCUUACAUUUUUCAUGUGGUGGAGAGUCUCAAAAGCAACAAGAAUAUUAUCAGAAAUGACCUUAUUCGCUUGUAAAGCACUCUAAAAUUUUGAGAUAAAAUUAGGAAAAAUAGUUUUCAAUCUUUUUGCUUAGACAUUAGAAACCAGCUUAUAUAUAAUAUUACAAAGGGAAAUGAGUCGAAACUCUGUACUCUCUCAGGACUUUUGAAUUUUGGGAUGAGAGUGAUAUAAGUGUGAUUAGUACUAGGGGGAUUUAACUUGAGUUAAGACAGUAUAGUACUACCUAAGAAACAUCAUCUCCAAUCUCCUUCCAAUAAUGCUGAUAAAAAAUCGGAGGCAUGCCAUCAGGGCCUCGUGCUUUAAAUGGAGCAAUUUGUUUCAGGGCAAGUUCCACCUCUUGCCUAGAAAAUUCACAGGUUAGAAUCCCAUUCAUCUCCUCAGUAACCACAUGCCGAGUUGCCUCCACGACUCCAGCCAUUUGACUUGGGUUUGAAGAGUUGAAUAACUAUUUAUAGUAAUCAACUAAAAAAUCUGCAACCUGAUCCUCACCCUCGCACCAUGCCUUAACCAAAUCCCUUAGAGCCUUAAUCUGAUUUCUUCUGAACCUUUGUGAAGCUCUACUAUGGAAAUACCGAGAAUUUUGAUCAUCCCCUUUGACCAUGGAAUUUUAGACUGUUGUUGCCACAAUUUCUCUUCUUGGGCUAAAAGAACACGAAUCUCAUCCUUUAACUAAAGGACCCGAUCUAAACACCCACCAUUAACCAUUAACAAUUCAGCUUUCUUCAAUUGUUUUCUCUUAUCAACCAAAUUUCGAACUAUAUUCCCAAAAGAGACUACUCCACCCUUGAAGCUUAACCUGACAUUGUUUUAGAUUAUCUUUAACUAGAGCCAUUGAAGUUUCCAUAUUACCAUUCCUCCAAGCAGCUCUUAUCAUCGCAUGACAGCCUUCCUUUUCCAACCACACUUGUUCGAACCUCCAAAGUUUUUGAUGCCGGGGGAGAAUCCCUAAAGGAAGGAUGAGAAAAGGUUUAUGAUCUGAGGUACCACACUCCAGAUGGAUAACCUUAGUAGCCAAAAAAGAGAAACCCAUCAUCAUUUUCCAAAGCUCGAUCCAAUCUUUCCCAAACCUUGACUCCACCCAUAAUCUGCUUACACCAAGUGAAUUUAUUUCCUUCAAAACCCAAAUCAGCAAAUCUACAUUCAUCCGUAGCAUCCUGAAAAUCUUGCAUUUGUUUUAGAGGUCUUAAUCUUCCCUGCAAUUUCUCAUGUGACUUAAGAAUUUCGUUAAAGUCUCCAACACAAAGCCAAGAUAGAUUGUAUCGUUGACAAUAGCACCAUAGAACCCCUUGAAACGCCAAGCAUUUGGUUUCCCCUUAUUGACAAUAGCAUCAAUAUGGUUAAGAGAUGACGUCUCCACACAAACAUCCACCUCACUGUUCCAAAGUAGAAUCAAACCACCACCCCGAUUUUCUUUCAAAACACAAUGAUUAAUUUUAAGAUUCAAUUUCUUCAACACACUAGGUAGUCUUGCUUCAUCCAGCCAUGUUUCAGCUAAAAAUACAAUUAGUCACUAAUCUGUGCGAUUCAUGGAAGAGUUGAGCAAAAAUUUUAAAUUUUAACUUUUGCUUAAAGUUAUAAUCACUUGAAAAUAUAAGUUACAAUUGAAAAAGGGAAAAAAAUUCUAAUACCAAUGAUAAGUCCAACACCAAUAAUAAUUUGGUAUUUCUUUGCUAUCAGUAAUAAUUUGUUAUACCUAAAAUAUAUGGUAAAGAUGACAUUAGUAUAUAAUUAUUCCCAAUACCCAGAAAUCAUACUCAAUAGGAACAAUAAUUUUUUAAAAAGAUUAAAGAAAUUGUUAACAAACCUGAAGUAGCAGUAUUAUAAGUUAUUAAAAUGUAAAGAAAAUAAUGUAAAUAAUCUAAUAUCACUCAACCUAUUUUAUAAUUUAAAAAAAUCAAUCAACGAGACCAUUAAAAAAAAAAAAAAUCAAUUAAUGAGUACCACAGAAGAGAAAGUGACAUGAGGAUGAGGGUGGGAAAUUAUUUCGGUAAAAAGAAGUUUUAAAUACCAAAAUUGUAUAAAUUCAAUCCCUUUUUUUUUUUUUUUUUUUUUUUUCUGUUCCACCGUUUUUUUAAUUCUCUCAUCUUUAUUUCUUUGUUAUUUUUCUUUACUCUUAUCUUGAAUUGUUCUCAUCCACACAUUUAAAUUAUUUUUACUUUCCCAAUGCCUUGGCUUUUCUUUCCCAAUGGCUAUACGUUCAGAUGUUCUAUUCUUCAUUCUCAUCCUCACAAAUCUCUUCCUCUCUCUCCGUCUCAAUCUCUUCAUUCUCUUCCUAUUCUUCAUUCUCAUCCUCACAAAUCUCUUCCUCUCUCUCCGUCUCAAUCUCUUCAUUCUCUUCCUCACAAAUUAGUUUUAGUCAUAGAAACAAUAAAAAUGCAAGAUUUUUUUCUUUUUUUUUUUUUCCAAAAGAUUUUGCAGAAGCAUUCAUCUCAACGUUUUGACAGAUCUCAUGGUGGUUGAGGCUUCAACAAUAGUGAUAAGGUGUUGUGAGCCUGUAAAAUACUACUUAAAAAAAAUAACAAAAAUCUUCCCUUGUUUUGUUUAUUUUCACGUUUUCUUUUCUCAACAUCAGAUCUUUUGUCAUCCUUAUCGUAUAGUAUUGUUCUUUUUUGCAAUGAUCUAAGUUUUAAUAUAGUGGGCAUUUCAGGGGCAUUUCAAUUCUUUGAGUUUCUGUUACAAAUAUUGUGAUACGUUACUUGAUAUAUCCUAUUGUCACCCUAAUACUUCACUCUCCAUAUGGUCAUAUCUUUGGAGAUCAAGGUCAAUCCCCUUAAUUUGGCUGGAAAAAAUGUCUCCAAUGUUUUCUUUCCCCUCAAAACCCGGGGGAGUAUCACUGGUAGUUGACUUAUUUAAAAAGGAAGGGAAAUUUGAAAUUACCUCGAUGUGGGGAGUUUCCGAAUUCGGAGGUUGGACCGGAGGAAAUUCAGAAAGAACAACUGGUGCCAUCGGAAAUGGUUUUUCAGACACACCAGUGGAGGCUUUUGGGGAUGAUUAUUUCUUUUUUACAUAGAAAUUGGGAUUUUUUUUUUCAAAAUAUCAUUAAUUUUCAAACAAUUUUGUUAGUUAGCACGUUUUCAAAACUAUUUAGGAAACUAAUAUCUCUAGUGUAAUAGACUUGAUUUUGGGAGUGCUAAAUCAAGUUCACUGAAGUCGAUUUUAGGAUCGUCACAUCACAAUCGAGUUUGUAGAACUCGAUUUCGUUUAAAUUGAAAUCAAGCCUUGCAAACUCGAUUUCUUAUCCAUGCCCUUUCCGUUACACUCCGUCUCUCACUCAUAACAUUUUACCUUGAAACAUAGAAAUCAUGAAGAACAAAACCACGAAGAACAAAACCCAAACACCCAGAAACCUUGAAACCCAAAUAAAAACCCACGAAGAACAAAACCCAAACCACAAAGACAGAAAAAACAAACCAGAGAGGCAGCGACAGCAAAGGAGGUGGCGGCGAUUGAACCCAAGUGGCGAAAGCUCUAGGCGGUGAUGACAAGGUUUGUUGAUGUUUUCUCUCUGGAUCUUUGUGUGGGUUUCUUGAUUCUUGUUCUUGAUUCUCUUUGGGUCUUUGGGUAAGAGAUUCUUGAUGUUUGUUGGGUUUGUUGAGGGAACUUGUUUCUUGCUUCUUGAUGUUGCCAAUGGACGUGAGAGAGUGAGACGGAGUGAGUGAGAGACGGAGAUAGUAUGGCUGAGAAAUCGAGUCUGUAAGGCUCGAUUUCAAUUUAAAUAAAACUGAGUCCAAUUCACUCGAUUUUAGCACUCCAAAAUCGAGUAUGUUGCACUUGAGAUGUUAGUUUCUUAAAUAGUUUUGAAAACGUGCUAACUAACAAAAUUGUAUGAAAAUUAAUGUUGUUUUGAAAAAAAAACCCUAGAAACUAGGUACUGAGAUCAUAGUUUUAUUUAUUUAUUUAUUUUUUUCGUUUUUUGUUUUUAUUUAUGCAAUAAACGAAGUUGCUUGAAGCCAUAGACCAAAUUUUUGGGACUCGAUAGAUAGAGUCCCCUCACUAUCCAACCACAAAUCACAAUCGAACUACAAAUCACAAUCCUUAUCGGCGUGGGUAAGGCAGCCACACCAAUAACAAAUAUUCGGCAGUCUCUAGUAUUUGAAUGUUACCCAAUCCUCAACACCAUCCUCCAGAGGGAUAACUUCAGUUUAAAGGUUUGAACACACCAAUGACGACUCUCACUCUCAGAAACUCCCCAUUCACCCCAUGUGAAGAAUCUUGUCUACAAAUUGUCCCAAUGCCUGAGUAAAUACCUUCAGCCACUUCACUAUUUAUAAAUCUAAUAGGAAUGUCAUGUACUUGCACCCAAAAGGAGACCAAAUUAAAAUCUAAAUCUUGAAUAUGUCUGACCUUAUCAUAUCGUUGAAUCACCACAAGAUGUUUAUCAAAACUCAAAGGUUCACUAGCCAAAACCUUUUCAGUUUCAAGCUUGUUAUCAAAAUAAAAAGGAUUGUAUUAUUGCCCAUGUCUUUAAUCUUAAAGUCAUUUCUAGACCUCCAAAGUUUACUGAAAGUCCUGGCAACAACCUCAACAUUUAGAACCCAGCUCUUUGUGUAAAUGGAAGCCAACCCAGCCAUAAGGUUCUACUUUCCUAUUAACAAAAAUAUACUAAAAAAUACUUAUAAUUGUAAUUCAUAAUUUAUAUUAAUUAAAGAAACAUUGAAAAAAAAAAUGUAAUUUUUGACACAAAUUAGUGAAAUUGCUAAUAAUAAAAAAAAAAAGUGCCAAAUUACAAAUACAUAAACAAAGUUCAAAAGUUACAACUCACAAAUACCAAAUUCUAAGUUAAACAACUCAAAACAUACAUAAUGUCUCUUAUAAACCACUCAAAGCAAAUAACAAUGUUAAUACCUAAUGUCUCACAUAAACAACACAAAGCAAAUAACAAUGUUUCAAACAACACCACAAACACACUCAAUCAUCAAGACCUAAGUUUUGGUUAUCUUGGAUGGAUUCCUCAAAGUAUGGUUGAUUAUUAUAAACAAAAUUCUUGUCAUUGUUAGCGGAAUUACAAAAAAAAAAAAAAAAAAAAAAAAAAAAAAUUACAUUUGUUGUCAAUGGUCUCUCUCACAGUGGCAUCACUAGGGCUGUCCAUGGGUCGGGCGGGUUGGGUUUUUGCCCAACCCACAACCGACCCGUACAAGAUCAGGAGGGUGGUUUUUCAACCCGCAACUAACCCAUAAUAGUAAUGGAUUUGUCGGUUCGGGUUGCCGGCAGGUGGUGGUCGGUUUCGGGUGAACCCGAUUACCACUGGAAUGCUUCGAAACGCGGCGAGAUCUCGCCAGAUCCGGUGAGAUCUUGCCAGAUCCAUCCAAGAUCCAGUGAGAUCCCAUUGGAUCCAGCGAGAUUUCUGGCAAAUCGUGAUGAGAAAUCACUCGUUCAGCCAGAUCCAGUGUUUAUUUUGCCAAAAAUUGACGGAUUUAAGUGAAAAGGUGGCCGAAAUCUAGAAAAAAGUGGCCGAAAUUUGGAAAAAGUGGCCGAAAUUUGAAUGGACUUUGGUUCGGGUCGGGUUUCACGGGUUUUGAAAUUAAAAACCGACAAUCGACCCGCUGGGGUUGGGUUAGUGAGGUCGGAACCCGUGUCCAACCGCCAGAGUCGUUGGAUCGGGUGGCGGCAGGUCGGAGACCAGCGGGUCGAACGAUUUGGGCGGGUUGCCGGUUUCCAUGGACACCCCUAGGCAUCACCGUCAGAUUUCUCAGCUUCUCGCGCUCGCCUUCUACUCUCUAGUAGUCUAGUCUUUUCUCUUUUCUUCUAUCUUAUAUGUUUUUGGGCUAGGGUCACUAGGCUAAUUUAUUUAUUUCAUUUUUUAUUUGUGAGAAACAAAAUCACACACACACACACACACACAAAAAAGGGAGAAGGAAAGGGGUUCUAACACAAAAGUACACUAUAACUCCACUCAAAAGCAAUGGUAACUUUUAAGAGAGGGUGUAGCAAGUUAUACUACACAUAACACACUCUUUUAAGCAAUGUAAGACAAUAACCCCUUCUUUUUUUAUUGAGAAACAAACCCACACACAAGGAAGAGGGAAAGGGGUUUUAACACAAAUGGGUUCAUUUUUUUUAUUAGUUUAGGGCCUUUGGGCUCUAUUUGAAGAAAAAAAAAAAAAAAAAAAAAAAAAAAAAAAAAAAAAAAAGAAAAAGAAAAAGAAAAGAACUUUCCUUUAUAGCACAAGAUCUUUAGUAUCGCUAUGUGAUUGGGAUCCUAUAAGAUCCAGAUCGAGAUCCCACACGGAAUUUGCUUAAAUAGAGAUCCUAGUGAGAUCCGGGACAUUUUAGGAAUGUAGGAUCUUAGGAUUUUAAGAUCCUAAGAUCCAGAUUGGGAUACUGAUAACCAUGAAGCCAACCACCCUCUUGUCCGGAGAGAGAUAUAUGACUCCAGUUUUUUGUUAUAUCUUCCAUGGUAGAGAGAGUGGUUCCCAACCCCCAAAAAACUAAAACCCAUAAGCCCUACAGAUAAACAAAUGUUUAUCAAGGGGAAAGUGAAAGCCUUACAAAGAAGGAACAAAGAAAUUCUACAGCCCAGGAGAAGAUGGUAGCACCACCUUUCUUUAGUGACAGAGAGACUUAGUGGUGGAUCAUAAUGAAUUAAAGCUAAAUGAUUGAAUCUAACGAAAAUAAAGUUAAAGGAUUGAAUAAAAUUUUUGUCAAAGUUCGAUUGUACAAUUUAUAAUUUAGCAUUUUGUGUGUGUAAAGUAUAGGACCCAUUGAGUUGCUGUGAAAAUGGAAAAAUAACAGGGAAAAGGGGAAAAAGGUAAAAAGUGCUGUGGAUUGAGGUGUAAACGUGUGACAAAAUUAUUGAUUUGGCUAAAAAAAAAAAAGGAAAGUAGUUUGGUGCUUUUUCUUCCUUGUACAGUUACAAAGUAGUUUAUAAUUUAUUUGAAGUUAGAGAUAUAUAUAUAUAUAUAUAUUUUUUUUUUGGAGAAAAUCUUAUUACAAACUCUCUAUUGCAUAUUCUCUACACAUAGUUGAUGAAGGGUGCAGAAGUGACAAGUAGGACACGGCUACUUUUAAAAAAUAAGAAAUAAAACACGUUUGCUUCUAAAAAAUAACUUCGAAUCUAUGUGGGUUCUUUAACCCACAAGGAAAAAGGGUCUGAAAUCCACCAAAGAAAUAAUAGGCCAAGUCUAAAUUUAUUGAUUUAAUAAUUCUUAAAAAACGUUUACAGAUUUGGAGGCUUAUUUAAAGGCUCUUUAAAACUUGAUGGACAAGAAAAGAAAAAAGGUUAAAGCCACAAACUCUUUUACAAAUUUGGCCUAAAAAUCAUUAAAAGGACCUAAAAACAAUGAAAUAAAUACCCUAAACCUAAAACUAUGAAAAUUACAUAAAAAAAAAAACCAAAAUUAAUAAAUUACAAAAAUGAAAUAAGAGAUAAUGUCCUACAUCAACAAUUAUGAAAUCAUGCUUUAAAAAUAAAAUUUCACAAUUUUAACUAAAAUUUUGUUUUAAAAACUUGAUUUGAGUCAAUGUAGCACUGUGUAUGGUGAGUGUGUAAUAAGAAGUAUGUGACUUAUCAUUACUUUUUUUUUUUUUUUUUAAUUUGAUUUUUAAUUGUGUUAGGUUAUUUUACCUUCUUCUUCUUUUCUUAUUUUUUUAUUUAUUUAUUUUUUUUUCUAUGUUCAGAAAUUUUUAGGCCCUGUUUGGUUGGGGUGAUUUUAGAGGAUGAAAAGGGAGAAGGAAAUAUGGGAGAAAAUACAUUUUUGGGUUAUUUGGUUGAAGGGGAAUAUGGGGGAUAUUUUGGUGGGGCUUAAAUGUUUUAUCUUCGAAUUCCCCAAAAAUCAAUCCCCCCCAAUUAUGGGAGAGAAAAUGGGAGAGGGGAAGGGGUAGAUGGGAAAUGGCCUAUCUACCCCCUUGCAAUCUGUGCACACGUUGUUUAUUUGGAUAAAAUACUAUUUUUGUCCCUAAAAUUGAUCAAUUUUUUUUUUCAUCCCUAAAUUUCAAAACGUUCGUUUUUUGUCUCUAAACUAUUGAAAAAUUCAUAUUUUGUAUCUAGAUUAUUGAAAAUGUUUUACUUUCUAUCCUUAAACUUUAAAAAUAUAUAUUUUUUCCCUAAACUAUUGAAAAAUUUUCUUUUUUCAUCCUUAUUUUUGUCUCUAACUUAUUAAAAAAAAAACUGUUUACAAAGUUUAAGGAUGAGAAAAAAAAAACUUUUUUAAAGUUUAGGGAAGAUAAACAAACUUUUGUUAAAGUUUAGAGAUCAAAAUAAUAUUUUAUCCUACUUUUUUUAAUAUCAAACAGACAUGUUUUGUUAUUUUAUUAGUUUUUGUUUGUCGUACUACGUGUACUAUAUACACGACGUUGUUGUGUUUGUUUAUUCUGCCUUUUAUUUUUUCAUAUCAAACUAAAAGUUUUUAUUUUUAUUUUUUAUGUUUUAUUAAUUUUUCUUUUGCUAGAUGUUUUAUUAGUUGUGUUUGUAAGUUUUAAUAAUUAAAAAAAAACUUUCUAUAAACUUUUAAAUUUUUUUAUGUAAUGGGACAUGAAAGUAAAUUUAUACAAAGUGCAUUUAUUAUCCUUUUAUUUUUCUUUUAAACUCAUCAUUCUUCCAGUUUUCAACCUUACCAACCAAACACAUAUAAGGGAAACUAAAUCUCUUCUCUUCCUUCACAUUUUCAUCCCCAUCAUUUUUUAUCCCUCACUUUUCCAUCCCCAAACCAAACGAAGCCUAAGUUACUGAAAAGUCUUUUUAGAGUGUUGGUGGACGAGUAGGGUUAAGGACAUAUUGACAAAUGGGUCUGCACUUCAAAAAAUGACUUAUAAUUUCAAGUUGAUUAGAAACUUCUAACCUACCUAGGGUAUCUCAUUAGACGGUCUUAUGAAGCUUACACUCUUAUAAUAUGUAAGAAUUACAUAUGUGAGAAGUCUCGUAAAACCAUUUUAUAAAAUACCUUUUUAUUUUUUCAGUAGUGGUGGAUUUGGACUUUUUGACCUAUUCCUUGUAGUGUUUUUAUAAUUUUUAUUUUUUAUUUUUAUAAUGUUUAGAAUUUUUUAUAGAGAAAGUCUACAGAUGCAAAACAUUUGACACUUGCCAGUGUGAAAAUUGUUAAUGAUAAGUAAAAAAGUGAUGUCAAUAAUGAGUUUAGAUGAAAACCAAUAAAAGCUUGCAACUCAAUAAAAGCAUUAUUCUUUUCAAUAUGAGUAGAGAAGGUUCCUUGGUUGUCUAAGUAGCUAGCUCCUUAUCAGUUAUCACAGCCACAGUCCGUUAUAAUUUUCCAUUUUACAUAUAUAUAUAUAUAUAUAUAUAUUUUUCAGAUCUUGUUUGUCUUCGAUCAUGUCUUACGAUGAAUUCCAUGUUUUGUCACGUUUCUUCCUUUAACAUCGGAACUUAAUGUUAAAAGGACAAAUUACCGAAAAAUGUUUUGAGCUCUAUUUUAGCAUAAAGAACACUGCUUCCUUCUUUUCAACUGCUAGCAGAUGCAUCUUCCUUGAUGGCCGAAAUCACAUUCAUGGCAUUGCCCUAACUUCCUCGUUGCUAAAAUAACAAUUAGGGAAGACUUUGCUUUAGCCCAUGUAGAAAUUCCAAAAAAAAACUUCACACUCUUAAGAAGCAUGAUAGGGGUUCAAGUGACAGUCCUAACCUCUAUUUUUUUUUUUUGGUGAUAGUAUAGCAUCCUCUAUGUUACUUGAGGUAUGAGUUUCGAAUCUAGCUCCUCCCUCCAUUAUUUACCUUUUUUAUAAAUAAAAAUAAAAUCAAAGUGCAUGACAAACUUUUUGUAAGACGUACCACAACAAGAAAGGAUUCAUUGUCACGAGCAACAGAAUUGAAGUAAAACUCAAACCAACCAUUUGACUGAGGCUUCAAGAUUGCUUAGGCUACUUUCAUUUAGCUAGAGAUUCCGAAGUUUUCAUAUGAGAUCAUGCGCGGUUGAUAGAUAUGAUUAACUGCAGAGCAUCCAAAUCCGAUCCCACAUAAUGUCGCUAAGAGUAGGAAGCUUGUUUCAUUCUCCUUGGGAAUAUUAAGAAACUUAAGGAGCAGUUAAUCCACUGAAACAUUAGCUAAGAUUUAUUGGGGAAAGUAGAUUUAUAGUGUUGAAUCCACAACUUAGACAUCAAGAAAGAAGCGAUGCUCAAGAGACACUAAAUUAACGUGAGAAAAGCAUGGUUUUUAGACCCGGAUUGUUCAUUGAACCGUAAAAGGGAGAGGUUCAAGGUUUUUGAGGUCGAACCGAGGUUGACGUCAUAAUUAAUUUAAUAAUUAUUUUAAAUAUAUAUAAAAACAUUAAAUUAAUAAAAAAAAGAAAAAAAUAACUAAAAUAGUCUAAUUCAUUUAGAGAUCUAUCUUUCAAAUAUUUUUUAUAUCAUAACUUUCACAAGACAAAUAAGAAAUGUCAAAUCCUUAGCAAACAUAAAGAUGAAUUACUCAAUCAAUCCAUAAAAGUACAAAGUAAAAAUGCAUAAACAAGCCUCCAAGUUACAGUACACAACUCCACAUUGUUUCUUACAAAAAUACAUAAAACUUAUUUCUAAAAAACAAUAAUAAAACUUCAAACUCCAAGUUACACACUGUAUCUUACAAAAAGACAGAAAUUAUCUCUAAUAUACAAAAUAGAACUUCAAAGUUCCAACAAAAUUAUUAUGAUCAUAAAUCAUCAAUGUCAUGAAAGUUAUCAUGCUCAUCAUCAUUCCCUGAAAAUUUAGGAGGAGGGCCAAUAGGUUGUUCAAAUGUUUCCAAAUCAAUUUCUUCAACCUCACUGCUAUCAUCUACACACAAGUUUGAACAAAUGAAUGAACUGGUGAAAUCCCAGUGUGAGAAUCAAGAUUCUGAUUGUGUAGUCAGUGCUUUUAUACAAUAUCAAUUAUUAUAACAUCACUUAUCAAAAAAAAAAAUAUAUAUAUAUAUUAUAACAUCAAAUUCAACAGGAAUUGCAAAGCAAUUCACUGGCAUGAACCUUAUCAGUAUUGCCUUAUUGAGAACUUCUGAAAGAUCAGUUUCUUACGGAGCCAACAACAUUUGAUUAACAUGUAUUUUAAUAGCUUCCACAAAAAUGUUAAAUAUUUAUAAAAUAUAAACACAUACUUAUCAAAUAAAAAUUAUAAAAUAUAAACACACAUUGAAGCACAAAUUUAACAGACCCUCCACCUAAUCUAUUAAUAUUGUGUUUUAUUAUUAUUAUUUUUUUAAUAAUUAAGAAUCUUUAUUGAAAGAGCUGGAGAACCAGCAACAAUACAGACAAGGAUUGGCAUUAAAAAUGAACCCAACAAUCCAAUUUGGGCAGUAAUUACACCAAUAAAAAAAAAAAAAAAAAAAAAAACAGUCGCAAAUACAUAAAAUGUUACAAUAUCAUUUUAUGAGUUUUCAUAUUUUGAAAUCAACACAUGAUAAUUCAUUAUCAAUUGUUAUUAUCUAUUGUCAAUGUUGGUAGAUAUGACUAUUUUAUUUUAUUAAGUUUGUAUAACAUUUUUAUUUUUAUGCAAUUGUCACUAUCUAUUUGUCAUUGUUUUUUAUAAAAAUAUUUUAUACUAAAUAGCAAAACUCAUCUUACUUGCAUUAUAUGAAUUAUUGACUAACACAACCACACACAUCCAUGCAUCAAUAAUACACUAAGUGUCUACUUAACUAAUCAAAUGCUUGAAUCUCUCUCAUGAAUCUCGUCUCAUCUCUCUUCUCUAUUUGACUAUCUCAGUAUCUUUGAUUCUAAGAGUAAAGAGCGAGUAUUUGUUAAUUAUGCGUAUUUAUAUGAUAUGUGCCUUAUUAUUAUUAUUAUUUUUAUUAUAAAAUAAUUUGUGUGAAUUGUAAUGUGUGUAAAUAUAUGCAUAUAUAAUGUAAAUAUAAUAUAACUUAAUAUAAUUUAAUAUUCAGGAAAUGCAGAGGAUUUGAUACAUGUAUGUGUAUCGUUAUUAUGUUAUAAUAAUUUUUUAUUAUAAAGUUAGUGAUUUAAGAAAAAAAAAAUAGUAAAAUUGAUAUGUGAUUAGAGUGUGCAAAAUUUAAACCAUAGUAUGCAAAAAUAUUUUUAAUGAUAAAUUAAACCGGUAAAAAAUAUAUUAUAUAUAUAAUAUUUUUUUAAUAAAAAGUCGGGUUCAUUUGAACCCCUGAAAUACAUCUAGCGCGACCCGUGGAUUUGACCACGUGAAGAAGUCUGCAAAAUCAUGGAAAGAAGAGUUUGUUGGAGUGUCUGACACGUUAAAGUGUAUUGAAUGAGCCCCCAACUACUCAUCUAGUCAAUUGAUGGGCUUGAGCAAACUUGUCUGGUUAGGGUUCAAAUUACAUGGAUAAAGAUUUCCAAUGAUCUUGGAACACACGAAAAUUGAGGGUAGAGUCAGUAUAAAUAGGAACCUGAUCUAUUUAUACACCUCCAUUAUUAUAAAUUGUUAAUACAAGAUUUCAAUAUCACUUGUUUUUACUCUAGGAAACUAAUAUGUAAUACAUAUCUUUAAUCCCCUUAAUAUAUUUUGAAAGGACUUUUUUCUUUUGUAAACUUUAUACCAUAACCUUGUUAGGUAUCUUGUCACAGGCUUUCUUUAGUACGUAAAACCAUAUUAAAACUUUUAGGAGAUUCUUUAUAUUUAUCCAUCAGGCAUUUAAGUAAGAAAAUAUUUUGUUAAAAGUACGUGGUUAAAUGAUUAAAUUUACUAUAUUUUAAUAGUUUAAACUUUUGGAACAAUUGAUAAUUUAAUAUGGUAUCAAAUCGGGAGGUCUUGAAUUCGAUUUCUGUCUCCUUCACUCUACUUUUCAUUUAAAUUCUCACGUGUUGUGUCUCAUCUAUUAAAUGGUAGCUUCGGAUUACAAUUUAUGGGGAAUGUUAGAAGCAUGUAGUUAAAUGAUUAAAUUUGUCAUAUCUUAAUAGGAUAAACUUUUGAGACAAUCGGUAAUUUAACGUAUUUUUCAUGAUAAAUCGCCUUGCAACAAGACCAAAUUGAUUCUCAAUUUUGUUGAUGUUUUGUGUCAUAGUGAAUGUUCUACCACUAUUUCUCAAAGUAUGUGGUUUGACUUAUAAACCUAAUUCAUGAUAAUUUAAGUUUUAUUUUUUCUCCACUCAGAUAUUUUAUUAACACUUAAAAGCUUAUCAAUAACAUUGAAGCUUAUUUUAAUUAAACCAGUUUAUUCGUUAAAGUCACUGUAUCUCUGAUAUUUAUGCAAAAUUAGAUAGUCAGAAAUAAACCGGCCAUACCAACAUGAGAAUUUGAUUUUCUUUUUUUCUUUUUUACUUUGCAGGCCAUGGAUUGGUUUGGAAUCUCCGACGACUCUUGGGUAAGCUUCAUUUAGUCAAUCAAUUUCAUAUUUUAGUGAUGGAUUGCAUUCGUCUUUAUCUUUCUUUUCUUUUUUUUCAUUGAGUUUUAUAUUGUGAAAAUUAGGAUAAGCUUGAAGCUUUAACAAUGGAGGAAAACACGAAACACAGAGAGAGAAGUUGGGAAGAGAACUCUCUGAAUUUUGUAUUCAAGCUUAAUUAAUUUCAUACACAUACAUCACAAUAUAUAGUUUACCACAGUUUGUAGAAAGAUCCUAUCUAAGAAACUCUAACAACCCUAUAACAGAAAAUGACUGCUGUACACAGAAAAUAUCUCCACUCUAUACAAAAUAUCUGAAGCUAAAUCUGUUGAAACAGAGCAAGUCAAGAACAUGCUCAGUGAGGAAGAACGGCUUCAUAAAACGACACCGUUUACUGCCUUGAAUAAGUCAUGCCAGAUAUAAGUGAGAAACGAUGUCGUUUAUCAUUUAGACAAACAUCAUCGUUUUGACUCUCAGUAACAUUUAAACUCAAGUGACCGUCGAACUAGUGACCGUUGGAACUGUGAACUGUGUGCACUUUAUCUUCUUUGUUUGUAGACUCACUGGUUCCACUUACACAUAUAUAUAUAUAUAUAUCUACUUUUCCUGAUCUAGUUGACUAAACAUUGUUUUCAUUUAUUGACUCAGUAAUCAAACCAAUAUAUGAAUUGAAGUUGCUUCACAUCCAAUCCAAUGAACUUCUAUGUCAAUUGUGCAAAGCGUUACCAGGCUUAAGAGCUGAAGAACUAGAUGAAGCUCUUGUUCCUCAUGCCAUCGUCAAAGCUGCCAAGAAAGGGAUGAUUGUGUUUGUUGAUACUAUUCUGUCCAGAUGUCCUGAACUUGUGUGGAGCAUCGAAACUCCCACACAAAGAAACCUAUUUAUGUGCGCCGUUUUACAUCGUCAGAUUGAUGUAUUUCGCCUCGUAUACAAAUUUCCUGUUAAGAACGCAAUAUUAUCUACUAAAGAUAGCGAUGGCAAUAAUAUAUUACAUAUGGCGGCCAUGUUAGAAUCUUCCACUGGACUAUGUUACAUUCCAGGCGCUGCCUUACAGAUGCAAAGAGAAUUACAAUGGUAUAAGGUAAUACCUCUCACUUUAUAUCAUUUUGAUAUACUUUCACUCUUGAUUUGUUUUCAGAUCUCUCGUGGGUUUACUGUUAGAAUUGUAGAAAUUGCUAUGUUCUUACCUUAUUAGCAAGGCAAAAAUAUCUUUUUGGUCCAUGCAUUUUGAGCCAGUUUUCACUUUGGUCUCCACAUUUUUCAACUCCUAUUUGGUCCCUAAAUGCUGGUUUUCAAUUUAAUCCGUACCGUCAUCUUACUAAUGGCAGUAUCUCAUAUGACAGACUGAAUGCAUCAUUGGCAUGUUAAAUGUUGACGUGACAAUAAUAAUAAUAAUAAUAAUAAUAGUAAUAAUAAUAAUAAUAAUAAUCAAUUGUAUUUGGCAUUAAAAAAAAUGCCACGUCAGCAUUUUAAUAAAUAAAUAAAAAACUACGUAAAUUUACCCAAAAAAAUACAAUAAAUUAAAAAAAAAAAAACUUUCAAUCUAAUUAUUAUUAUUAUUAUUAUUUAUUUAUUUAUUUAUUUGCUUUUCAUUAUUUUUUCGGAAAUAACAUUCAUGUUCUUCCCCAAAACAUGAAUAGUCAUGUUCUUCCCCUAAAUCAAGACAUAACCAACCCAUUCAUGAUCAAAUUUAGCAAUUCUAACACAAUCAACACCGAAACCUCUAGCAAAAUCAAACCCAUAAAGCCAACAACCCAACCAAUCUCCAACAAACCCAUAAACCCAUAAAUUUUCUUGGGCAAUAACCACACAAAAAACCCAAAAAAUUCAAUUAUAAAAAAUCAUAAAUCCCAAAAGCCCCAUUUUCUCCAACUCAUGCAAAAUCAUCAAAUCCCAAAGCCCCAAUAUACCAAAUCAAUCCAAAAUACAACCAACCCAAACAAAAAAUCUCAAACCCAAAAAAACCUAACCAAUUCGGCUCACUAAAUCAAACACACAAAUCCAAAAAACCCUAGCCAAUUUAGCUCACAACAACAACAAUCAAACCUAGAAAAACCUAGCCACCACCACCUCUCUCUCUCUCUCUAAACUAGAUCAAACAAUCAAACCCAUAUCCCAAAACCAAGUCAACCCUCACCAAUCAAACCCAUAUCCCAAAAUGACAACUUGAGAUUAGAGAGAAAAAAGAAAUGAGAGAAAGCCACAGUUGGUUUUCAGCCAUGGGUUGAGAGAGAGAGAGAGAGAGAGAGAGUUGAACCCGUUGAGAAUGAGUGAGAACUUCAACUCGCUUAGAGAGACAUAGAGAGAGCUUGAGAGAGUUUUAAUAUUGUUAGUGGGUUGGAGACCUUGGGGUUGUGAUUCGGGUUUAUGGGGUUUCAAAAGUUUUUUAUUUAGUAUAGUAUUAUUAUUAGUAUUAUUUUUUUGAGAAGUAGAAAGCUGUAAAAUUAUUAAACAAGGGAUGCCAAGUCGGCAACAAUUAUAGCAUUAGGAGUAGGGAGACACUUAUCAACCCAAAGCCAAAAUCUUACCAUUUCCAACCCUCCCUUUCAUUCCAUGCUGCACUAAAGGCUGAGCAGCCAUAAUACUCCACAAAUAAGAUGGCCUCUUCCCAAGCGAAGCAUCCACAAAUCACAAUUUAGCCAAUAAAGCCAAAUUAAGAUCUUUUAACAGUUUGAAACCCAUCCCCCCUUGAGCUUUUGGAAACCAUGCUAGUCAUCUCAUCACAAAGAGAGUCUAGUAACUUGAAAUAACUCAUAGUAUAUGUUGAUACUACUUGAGCUAGAACUUUAAUCAAUAUUUCCUUUGUCACCUUAGAUAAGAGCUUUUCCUUCCAACCUAUAAGUUUAUUAGCAAAUUUCUCCAUAAGAUCGAUAAAAGUAUCGCACUUAGACCGGCCAAUUAGAGAUGGAAGACAAGGGUACUUGUUAGGGUCAUAUUUUAUUGUAAUUGGCUAAUAUUUUUACAAAAUGCACUUUACUUGUAAUUGGAUAGAUCUAAGAUGGGUUUAGUACUUCGAGAAAUAUGUUGUUCAAGUCAAGUAUUAAAAACAUAAAGAUUGGUACAAGAAAAAAGUGAAGAAAAGCUGUUCAUUAAGUCUUGACAGAUAGCUCAACAGAUGCUUGCUAUCGAGGCUUAAUGUGAAACUCGAUAGAUAGCUCAACAGUAGCUCAAUCUAUCGAGAACAACAAUUUCAAAAUUUCUAGAUUUGAAAUUUGGCCCAGUCUUGUGUAUUUGUUUAGGGUUUCUUUUCUCACAACCCUAUACAUAUAUAAGGCUUAUUUUAAAGGCCGUCACACAUGAAUACAAAGACCAAGAGACUUAUUUUCUUUAUGUGAAACUACUGUAUUUGUACACCAUAGAGUUUUGUAACAAAGUGCUUCUAGAUCUUCAUUAUUGAUGAAGUGAAGAACUUUGCAAUCAACAUCUGUUCAAGUUACUGCAGUUAGUCACGUACUUGGGAUCCGUGCAAAGGGUUAGUCACAAAUUGGAGGUUAAUGCAUUAAAAGGAAAGAAGGCUACUACAAGAUCAAGUCCAAUUGAGUAUUGGAGCAAAGGUUGAACUGUAAGUUGGUAUUUUGGGAUAGGCUAGAAUAGUUGGUAAGAUUCCUUAUACUUGUAAUCGCUUUGAUUAUUGCUUAGUGGAUUAUUGGGAACGGUGACCUUAAAAUCACCUGGAGGAGUUUUUGUCUUGCGAGGCUUUUCUCAUUUGUCAACAAAUCACCGUGUUAAUUUUAUUUUCUGCUACAUUUAGUAUUUUGGUGAUUUGUUGGUGCCUUCACAUUUUGCAUGCAAAUUGAACUUAAUUAAUCAACUUAGAUAAUUGAAUAAUUAUCCGGGGUCAAGCUAUCUUAACCCAACAGUACUUUUCAUUUUGGCGAAUGACUUGAGCCUCAAACUUAGUUUUGAUUUCUUCUUGCAUAUAAUCCAUGGCGUUUUUGCUAAAGAAGAAAGAUGCUUUUGCUCAGUUCAAUUGCUGCCCCAAGGCCGACUCAUACACCUUAAGAAUCCUUAAUGAAGAGUCACAUUCCUCUCUAGAUCCUUUUCAAAAAAUCAAACUGUCAUUAAAAAAAAAAAAAUGUGAGAAAUAGUAGGACCUCUCCUAUAAGCUGCAAGACCAUGUAAAGACUCAGCCUUUGCAGAUUUUUUUUAUUAGAGCUGAAAGACCUUUUGCAUGUAUGAAGAACAAAUAAGGAGACAAAGGUUCCCCUUGAUGCAUGCCCCUAUUUGGAGUUAUGCAACCUCGAGGAACCCCAUUAACCUUGAUAGAAUAUGUUAUAGAUGUAAUGUACUACACCAUUAGCCCUCUCCAUCUAGAAUGGAACCCAAGUUUCUCCAUAAGUUUUUUCCAGCCACACCGACUCCACCCUUAUCAUACACCUUGCUCAUGUCCAACUUCAAAGACAUCUCUCCAAUUUUCACCUCCCUUUUUUAACUAAUAUGGUUCAUAGUUUCAAAAGCUAGCAUCAUAUUAUUGGUAAUUAACCUUCCAUGCACAAAUAGAGUUUGGGUAUCACUGAUAAUAGGAGGUAAACUUUUAUUUAGUCUAUUUGCAAGGAUUUUUGAAGCCAACCACAUGACAUAGACUAACAGGGCGAAAUCCAGUCACUUUCGUAAGAUAUUUAGUUUUAGGGAUAAGAACAAUGUGGGUCUCAUUAAACUUAGGUGGAAGUUUCUCAUUAGUGCUUUGAUUGAAUCGAUUCUUAUUACAUUUGAGUAUGUUGAUUAGAGAUCUUCUUAAUGGAGUGAUCAGUGAUAUGAUCAGAUGUCUGGAGACUGGUUUUGAUGGAGGCUGCGAUCUUGCAACUGCGAGUGGCUUUUAAUAGCGGUAGACCUUAUCGAAGACUUCUGACUAUGGCAGAGGGAUGAGAAGAAAUUCUCUGUAUAGUGAAUUGCUUGUAAACUGUACGAGAGACUAGCUUUAUAUAAAUAGAUGUAUGGGUACUUUACAAGUAAUAUGAGUAUAAAACAAGUAUAAUACAAUGUGCUUAAGGCCCCAUAGGCCAUAGAUUAUACACUAAUACUUAUGAUUUCAUAUCUUGACACCCUUGUUUUGAAAACAUUUCGCUUCCUUCAAAAUGACUAAGAAAUAUCUAGGCAAAAAAAAAAAAAAAAAAUAAAAAAAAAAAAAAAAAAAAAAAAAGGCUAAGAAAUAAUAAUGCAAGAAAAAUUAGUAAUUUCAUAGACAAAUUAUCUAUAUAAAAAUUUAUAUAGAGGAAAAAAAAAAAAAAAAGAAGGGAAAAUGGUCCUAUUGAAGUGCUUGGGUGAGAAAAAAAUAUCUAGGGUCUGUUUUGAAAAGUUUCAACCCAAGCUUUACAAAAUACAACAAUGGUGUUCACACAGUAAAUCACUCAGAGAGAAGCUACAAGCUUAGAGAGAAAAGAGAGGAAGUUUGAGAGAGAGAAAAUGAGAAAAAUUUUGGCAGAGUUAUUAUUCAACUAUUCAUUACAGUGAUGUACACUAUAUAUAUAUACACAAGGGUCAACCACGGCCUCAUCAGAGAUCCCUGGAUUCACGGAAUGGAUCCGUAAAUUACGGAGGGAAAUUAGGAACUAAGCAAUGGUUAAUAAUUGCCUAACAGAUUGAACUUAUUCCAACAAUAGCUAUACAAAACGCAGCGUUUCAGUAAGUGUAAAUGUAGCAUUUCAUUAAAUAUAUUCACAAGUCUUUGUGUAUCCAGACGACAUCGUUCUAAUGAUUGCUAAGUAGCCGUUGGAAAACUAGUCGUUGGGCAUGCUCUGUUUCUCUUUAUGACUUCUUCUGGAACUACUCUCAACAUCCCCCCUCAAACUCGAGGCAGAUUCAGCCAAGAGUUUGCUCCGCAGAACCAGAAAAUGAGGACCAGGCAAUGGUUUUGUAAAAAUAUCAGCAAAAUUGUCACGGCCAAAGAACACAACCCCUCACAUAAUGGUAAUCAACCUCAAUGUGUUUGGUUCUGGAGUGAAACACAAGAUUUGAGGCCAGAGCAAUAGCAGAGUUGUUAUCACACCACCGUAUGGGAAUGUGAGGGAGAAACAGCUUAAGUUCUUUAAAGAGUGUGCGAAGCCAAGCUAAUUCAGCUGCUGUAGAGGCUAAGGCACGAUAUUCUGCCUCUGUGGAAGAACAUGAAAUAGUGGAUUGUUUCUUGGAAGACCAAGAAAUUGGGCUUGAGCCAAGGAAAAUCAACAUGCCAGUAGUAGACUUUCUGUCAGUGGGGUCGCCAGCCCAAUCCGCGUCAAAGAUGGCUGAGAAGGUGAAAGGACCAGGAGCAAGAUGUAUGCCAAAAUGCAAAGUACCCCUCACAUAAUGAAGAACAUGCUUGGCUGCCUCUAAAUGAGAAGUAGUGGGAUGAUUCAUAAACUGGCAAAGCUGAUGCACACUAAAGGCCAAAUCAGGGCGUCUGAAUGUCAAGUAUUGGAGAGCUCCCCCCAUGCUUCUGUAUUCAGAUGGAUCAGGUAAAACGGAACCAUCAAAUGGAGUAAGACGCACAUUAGGACAGCAAGGAGUCUUGGUGGGCUUGGAAUUCUCCAUGUUGAACUUGUGAAGCACAUCUGAGGCAUAUUUGGAUUGGCAUAAGGUGAGGCCAAAUCUGGAAGGCAUAAUUUGAAUGCCUAAGAAGUAGGAAAGAGAACCCAAAUCCUUAAGCUCAAAAGCUUGACUAAGAGCAGUGACCAGAUGAGAGACUUGAGAUGAUGAGUUGCCUGUGAUGAUAAUAUCAUCAACAUACACAAGGAGAUAAAUGAUGAGUUGAGGAGACUGAUACACAAAUAAGGAGGAAUCAGCCAUGGAAGCUUCAAAACCAAGAUGUAACAACUGAGAGGCAAAUCUGUCAAACCAGGCUCUAGGGGCUUGUUUCAAGCCAUACAAUGAUUUAUGUAACUUGCAGACAUGAUGAGGAAAGUUAUGAUCCACAUAGCCUGGUGGUUGUGCCAUGUACACUUCCUCCUUUAGAAAACCAUGAAGGAAGGCAUUGGAGACAUCCAAUUGCCUGAGAGGCCAAUGAAGACUCACUGCUAUGGAAAGAACAAGUCUCACUGUAGCUGGUUUCACAACUGGACAAAAUGUUUCAGUGUAGUCCACACCAGCCUGUUGAUGAAAGCCCUUUGCAACCAAUCUGGCUUUAUAGCGAGCAAUGGUGCCAUCAUUGUUUAAUUUCAGCUUAUACACCCACUUACAACCCACCAAAUUGAUGCCAAUAGGAGUAGGAACAAGAGACCAAGUUUUCUGUCUUUGCAAGGUAGAAAAUUCAGCAUUCAUAGCUUGAACCCAUUGAGGAAACUUAGAAGCAACCUUGUAGGAUGGAGGUUCAGUAUGAGUGUAAUCAAGGAUAGCCUUAAAACAAAGUUUAGGCUUAGUAAUGCCAUUCUUGGAUCUGGUGGUCAUAGGAUGGGAAUUAAUAGGGGCAUGGGAAGAAGCUGAAGUAUUAUGUGGAGGAGCAAGUGGCAAGGAAGGAGAAGGAGCUGAGGCAGUACGUUGUAAAGUGGCAGGUAAGUGUAUAGGCUGGGGUUGGGAUGGAGAUGGAGAGUGAGACUGAGAUGGGGAAUUAAGAGUAAGAGCUAAACUAGGACUAGAGACAGAUGGGAUAGGGGUAGAAGUAGAGGUGUAGGGACCUAGGAUGGAGGGCUGAUUGGAAGAGUGGAGAUACAAAAGAUUGGAUAGCCAUAAGUCUGGAGUUGGUGGAUGAGAAGGUGUGACAGAAGGAGAUGUAAUAGGAAAAGGGAAUUUGUGCUCAUUAAACAACACAUGCUUGCAGGUAUAAAACUUGUUAGUGAGUAAAUCAAGGCAUAGGUAUCCCUUAGAGACAUUGGAAUAGCCUAAGAAGAUGCAUUCUGCUGUUCUGUGAUUAAGUUUGUGUUGACUGUAUGGCUUGAGGUAAGGGUAACAAGCACAUCCUACUUUAAGAGAAAAGAUAUCUGGAUUAGAACCAUAGAGUUUAAACCAAGGUGACAUGAAGUCUAAGGUGGCUGUGGGAAGGAGAUCGAUGAGUGUCAGUGCAGAUUGAACAGCAAAUGACCAGUAUGUGGAAGGGAGAGAGACUUGUGAAAGUAAGGUGAUUGUGGUUUCAAUUAGGUGCCUAUGUUUCCUUUCAACUAGACCAUUUUGUUGAGAAGUGUAGGGACAAGAAAUUUGAUGUUGAAUCCCAUUGGAAGACAGAAAAGACUCAAAAGAUUUGGAAGUAAAUUCACCACCCCCAUCUGAUCUGAGAACUUUAAUGGUGGAAGAAAAUUGUGUUUUAAUCAUGGCAUGAAAGAUGACAAAUUUAGAGUAAACCUCUGAUUUAUUUGUGAGCAAGUACAUCCAUGUAAAACGAGUGAAAUGAUCAACAAAGAUGACAUAAUAUUUGUAGCCAUUUAUUGAAUCAAGAGGUGCAGGACCCCAUAGAUUUGUAUGUACAAGUUCAAAAGGAGAAGUAGCUACAAACCUAGAACCAGGAAAUGGAAGUCUGUGCAUCUUGCCAUGGAGACAAUGAAUACAGGAAUUUGCAAGAUUAACACUAUUAGGAGAAGACAUUCCAUUAUUAUGUAAAACAUGUCUAAGAACUUGAGAAUUAGGGUGACCAAGCCUGCUGUGCCACAAGUGCCAGUGUGAAUGAGACAACUUGAUUGAAUUACACAAUUUUUGGGGAAGAAGGAGCUUAGUGGCCUUGUGAGGAUAGAUGGGGUAAACACCAUCUUCACUCUUGCCUUUGUAAAGAAUUGUCCCCAUGGCCAAGGCCUGAAUUAACAAAGUAUUGGCAUCAAAGUAACUACUACAAUUAUUAUCACAGCAGAUUUUGUGGAUAGAUGCAAGGUUAGAAGCAAUAGAAGGAACCCUUAACACAUUUUUAAGAUGAAUAGUAGAAUUAGAAGAAGGAAUUAGUGAAUUACCAAUAUGAGUGAUAGACAAAUUCUGUCCAUUCCCAACUGUGAGUUGUUCUUGGCCAGUGUAAGGCUUAGGAAAGCUUAGGUGGUUGAGGCUAGAUCUGACAUGAUCAGUUGCUGCACUGUCUGCUAGCCAAGGUUGCUCCUGAGUUAACAAAUGGUUGGAUGCAGUGACCAUAGCUACUAACUUUGUAGGUGGAUGCUUGCCUUGAUAGGCAUAGUCCAUCCUGUGGUAGCAGUCAAUGGCUGUAUGACCUGCUUUACCACAUAUUUGACAAAUAGGCCUCUCUGCUCUGGCAUUAGGACCUUGAGCUUGUGGUGAAAAAUGAUUAAACUGACUUGAAGAUGGGCCUGGACCUCUGCCUCGGCCUCUGGCAUUGUUGCCUGUUCCUCUACCUCUAUUAGCAUUAUAUGACUGAUUAUAGGUAUGAAAAUUACCACCAGUGUUAUUGAAUCUUGGUGUGGAGUUAACUGCCAUUGCAAAAGUGGAGUCUUUGAAUUCCAUUCCUUCAUUCAGGGAUUCUUCCUUUGCAUUCAACAGAGUAGCAAGUUCAUCAAAACUUAUUUUUGUGCUUUUGGUUCUGAUUGCAGACCUGAAUGCACUGAACUCCUUUGGUAGACCUUUGAUUGCUACAUGGAGUAGUUCUUCAUCAUCCAAAAGAACUCCUACUGCCAUUAAUUUGUCUCUGAUCACCUUAAUCUUCUGCAGAUAUGAAUCUAUAGAAUCAGAUCCUUUCUUCACAUUAUGUAGUUCACCCUUGAGAUUCAUCACGUGAGAUCGUGAAAUUGAAGAAAAUCUGUGUUCAAGAACUUUCCAUACUUCUUGAGCAGAUAAACAACCAACAGUGAUAGCCAAGACUGAAGGUGUUAGGGUAGAACUGAUGAAGGUCAAUAACGCCUUUUCCUUUGAUAUCCAGGUAAGAUACUCUGGAUUAACCACAGAAGUAACAACUCCAGAAAGAUCUUUGAGAAAUUUCUCAGGUACAAGAGGGACUUCAUCAAGAAGUUCAAGCAUUGAGUAUGUUUCCAAUACCAUGGAGAUUUGGUGCUUCCAAACAAUAUAAUUGGAAGAAUUCAGUUUGACUAUCAUCAUAUUUGAUAUAUUAGACAGCAACAGUAGAGGUUGAUUAGUGAGAUUGAUGGGUGAAGAAGUUGAAGGCAUAGUGGUGAAGGUUGAAGGUAAAGUAGAGGAAGUUGAUGUUGAAUUGGUUUCUGCCAUUGUUGGACCUUGGGAUUGUGGUUGCUCUGAUACCAUGAAAAGUUUCAACCCAAGCUUUAAAAAAUACAACAAUGGUGUUCACACAGUAAAUCACUCAGAGAGAAGCUACAAGCUUAGAGAGAAAAGAGAGGAAGUUUGAGAGAGAGAAAAUGAGAAAAAUUCUGGCAGAGUUAUUAUUCAACUAUUCAUUACAGUGAUGUACAAUAUAUAUAUAUACACAAGGGUCAACCACGGCCUCAUCAGAGAUCCCUGGAUUCAUAGAAUGGAUCCGUAAAUUACGGAGGAAAUUAGGAACUAAGCAACGGUUAAUAACUGCCUAACAGACUGAGCUUAUUCCAACAAUAGCUAUACAAAACCUAGCGUUUCAGUAAGUGUAAACGCAGCGUUUCAUUUAAAUAUAUUCACAAGGCUUUGUGUAUCUAGACGACAUCGUUUUGAUGAUUGCUAAGUAGCCGUUGGAAAACUAGUCGUUGGGCAUGCUCUGUUUCUCUUUAUGACUUCUUCUGGAACUACUCUCAACAUGUUUUCCCUUGUUCCUAGGACUUCCAUCAUACCGUUACUUGUUUUAAUAACUCUAUAGAAAAACAAAUGCAUGAUAUUGAAGAGCUUUUUUAAUUUAGCGAGUAAUUUGGACUGUGUUGGUGCUAUAAUUUACUGCAAUUUUAAUUUUGUCACUGUUGGGGGCUUUUUUAUACGAGGGAGUUGAAAAGUGAAGACGAUCAUGAAAAAAAGAAAAUGAAAAUGAGAGUUUCAAAUGGUGGUUUUUCAAUUUUGUAAUUUAUCUGCCCAUGGCUUAUCUAUAAGACUAUAUAACAGAGAAGUCGUACAUAUUGUUUGAAGAGUGCUUUGAGUUUAAUCCUGACGUUUGGUAAUUUUAAAAUUUCAAAUUUAUUAGAGAAUAAAUGAAACUAAUUCGAUAUUUAAGUUUAAAGACGGUAGAUUAUACUCAGAUCAAAUUGAAAUGUGAAUCAAUUAUUGCUCUUCUUUCUGUUUCUCUGCUCAUCCUCUUUGAAUUCUCUUUUCUCUCUUUAAUUGCAUUAGCAUACAUACUGCAUAUCCUGCAAAUUUAGCAGUUUGUACUUUAAUAUAUGGCGUAAAUUAGGGUGAUUUUAACAAUUUCUACCGCUCAAUUGGUUCAGAAUCACCUAAUAAGAGAUAGUAUAAAGCAAAGACUAUUAACUGAAUGCAUUCUUGUCAUCAAGAAACUGAAAUUUUCCUUAUGGCAUCCAUGUAAUGCUAUUUCAAGCAAAAUUUGGAUGAUUGCUAUCCUGGGGAGGGUAAAUAUUAUAUGUUGCUUUAUAUUUUCUCUACAUCCUAAAUUUUUCCAUCAAGUUGUUUUGCUUAAUAAACGCAGGAGAUCGAGGGCGUUGUCCCUCCUAACCUAUUAAACACUAGAAACAAAAACGAUCAAACACCUGAAGAAUUGUUUGCGGAGAGUCAUAAAGACUUGAUCAAAGAGGGGGAAAAAUGGAUGAAGGAUACAGCUACUUGUUGUGUAGUCCUAGGUGCUCUAGUUGUUACCAUUAUGUUUGCAGCAGUAAUUACUGUUCCAGGUGGUAACGAUCCUACAGGCUUACCAAUGUUCUUAAACAGAAAGGUGUUUACGGUCUUUAUAAUAUCUGAUGCAAUGUCUCUAAUUUCUUCCUCAAUUUCGUUGAUGACAUUUCUUGAGAUCUUCACAUCACGUUAUGCUGCUGAAGAUUUCCUUGAAAUCUUACCUGGCAAGUUGAUAAGGGGGAUUAUCACACUUAUGUUCUCCAUAGCGACGAUGUUGAUAGCCUUUUGUAGUGCUCUUUGGAUUGUUCUGCAUGGAAAAUCAUGGACGGUCAUUCUUGUCAUUCUCCUUGCUAGUUUUCCAGCAACCCAAUACAUAAUCAACCAACUUCCCAUUGUUCUUGAUAUGAUCGUUGCAACUUUUGGAACUGGAAUCUUCGGCAAGAAAGUGAAGCCUUGGUCGUAA